ensembl:lncRNA novel transcript
AGGAAAUAAGCUGCAGGCUCCUGGGGUAUAUUUAUUUUCAACUUUACAAGAGAACAAUAAAUUAUUUUCCAAAGGUUUGUACCAUUUUUCACCUCCAUUGGCUGUGUAGCUUUGGGAGCUUGGGCUACCCUGUAACGUCUAAAUGCCUGUGCAGUGUGG